rnacentral:lncRNA from 1 species
AAAGAUUCACAUAACACCACUUAGGAAAUUAUCAAACACCUAAUAUGCAUCUAAGGAUAUGAACAAUUUGGUCUGUAUCAUAAGUUAUCCUAUUUCUUUGGUCUAAUAAUGAUAAUAAUGAUAAAAAAAACAUAGAAAUAACAACAGAAAUUGAAAUGUUCAACAAAAAAAAACACAAAUUGAAAACUCACUACAAAUAAA